rnacentral:rRNA from 1 species
AAACCCCUAAAAUACAAUAUACCGUAAACCCCUAAAACGUCGUCAAACGGUUAUUUCCAAAUGUGGAGAAGUCUAAUACUUUUCGAUCAUUCAAGUCUGAGACCUUCCUCUCUAGUAGCAAACAAUUCCAGACCACAAAUCAACCACCAAUACACCAUGGAUGUGGCAGUGAAAACUAGUUCUGGAGUUCUUCUCUAUAGUAGAGUUCCGACUUGAGGUUAUGAACGUAGGCGGUGGGAUUGCGACCGCACAAGGGAGUCAGGAGAGAGCUGUUUAGCUUAUCAUGUCCAAGAGGCCACGCGGUUCAUAACAGACGCCGCUACGGACGUAGUACCGGUUAACCCCUCUAGAACACAUAAGGUGUAUCUUCUUUAUAACAGUCAAGUUCUUAUCUCUUAAAGACAUGGUCUGAAUUAUAAUCAAACCACGCAUAAGAUAGAAGUCAGGUACUUUUUAGUGUCUUAUCAACCACGCACACAUCUUUUUAGCAGUCACGUUCAAAGUUUUAAGACAUUGAAAUCUAUAUAG